rnacentral:rRNA from 1 species
GAUGAACGCUGGCGGCGUGCCUAAUACAUGCAAGUCGAGCGAACGGACGAGAAGCUUGCUUCUCUGAUGUUAGCGGCGGACGGGUGAGUAACACGUGGAUAACCUACCUAUAAGACUGGGAUAACUUCGGGAAACAGGAGCUAAUACUGGAUAAUAUUUUGAACCGCAUGGAUCAAAAGUGAAAGACGGUCUUGCUGUUACUUAUAGAUGGAUCCGCGCUGCAUUAGCUAGUUGGUAAGGUAACGGCUUACCAAGGCAACGAUGCAUAGCAGACCUGAGAGGGUGAUCGGCCACACUGGAACUGAGACACGGUCCAGACUCCUACGGGAGGCAGCAGUAGGGAAUCUUCCGCAAUGGGCGAAAGCCUGACGGAGCAACGCCGCGUGAGUGAUGAAGGUCUUCGGAUCGUAAAACUCUGUUAUUAGGAAAGAACAUAUGUGUAAGUAACUGUGCACAUCUUGACGGUACCUAAUCAGAAAGCCACGGCUAACUACGUG